rnacentral:rRNA from 1 species
UAGUUGGUAAGGUAACGGCUUACCAAGGCUUCGAUGUCUAGGGGCUCUGAGAGGAGAAUCCCCCACACUGGUACUGAGACACGGACCAGACUCCUACGGGAGGCAGCAGUAAGGAAUAUUGGUCAAUGGGCGCAAGCCUGAACCAGCCAUGCCGCGUGCAGGAAGACUGCCCUACGGGUUGUAAACUGCUUUUGUACGGGAACAAACCCCCCUACGUGUAGGGGGCUGAGCGUACCGUAAGAAUAAGGAUCGGCUAACUCCGUGCCAGCAGCCGCGGUAAUACGGAGGAUCCGAGCGUUAUCCGGAUUUAUUGGGUUUAAAGGGUGCGUAGGCGGCAUGCUAAGUCAGGGGUGAAAGACGGUGGCUCAACCAUCGCAGUGCCUUUGAUACUGGCGUGCUUGAAUGCGGAUGAGGUAGGCGGAAUGAGACAAGUAGCGGUGAAAUGCAUAGAUAUGUCUCAGAACUCCGAUUGCGAAGGCAGCUUACCAAGCCGCGAUUGACGCUGAUGCACGAAAGCGUGGGGAUCAAACAGGAUUAGAUACCCUGGUAGUCCACGCCCUAAACGAUGAUGACUCGAUGUUAGCGAUAUACAGUUAGCGUCCAAGCGAAAGCGUUAA